rnacentral:rRNA from 1 species
AACGAACGCUGGCGGCAGGCUUAACACAUGCAAGUCGAACGCCCCGCAAGGGGAGUGGCAGACGGGUGAGUAACGCGUGGGAACAUACCCUUUCCUGCGGAAUAGCUCCGGGAAACUGGAAUUAAUACCGCAUACGCCCUACGGGGGAAAGAUUUAUCGGGGAAGGAUUGGCCCGCGUGGGAUUAGCUAGUUGGUGGGGUAAAGGCCUACCAAGGCGACGAUCCAUAGCUGGUCUGAGAGGAUGAUCAGCCACAUUGGGACUGAGACACGGCCCAAACUCCUACGGGAGGCAGCAGUGGGGAAUAUUAGACAAUGGGCGCAAGCCUGAUCCAGCCAUGCCGCGUGAGUGAUGAAGGCCUUAGGGUUGUAAAGCUCUUUCACCGAUGAAGAUAAUGACGGUAGUCGGAGAAGAAGCCCCGGCUAACUUCGUG